GGCUCAUGGAGCUGUCUGUCACGGCGUGAGCACGUGGCUGUGUUUAUCGGUUGACGGCUUGUGGGAGUCAUUACAGGAGGAAGAAUCGCAGGUCCGGACUACAAGUGGGCUCUCACCACCUGUUUUCCCCACACUUGAGGGGGGGGGGGGGGGGAAUGGGUCCUCAACCCGCUGUUGGUUCCCCACCUCUGGAUGACAAGGAGGAACAGUGGAUCUCAAAUCUGCUGUAAGCCGCCAGCCAAUGGACCAGGGAACCUAAUCACAGUAAACGGCACCAUGAAAAAAGAGCAAUACAU